rnacentral:misc_RNA from 1 species
GCCCUUUUGUCUUUGUCCAAAUCCGCCUACUCUUUUUUUCAGCUUCACGAUUACACAGAAAGAGAGAGAUUUGAGAGAGACAGAGAGAGUACCCGGUGAUGAAAACAGGAGUUUCUGGCGACAACUGGAAGUCCGAUGACCCACUACCGGAGGGCUGGACAGUCCAGGUCAAAGUGAGGAGCAACGGUAAAAAAGAUAAGUGUUACUUUCCUCCCUCAGGUGAAGGUAAAUUCUACUCCAAACUAGAGGUAGUUCGCUAUCUUAACAACAGCAAUCCUAAAUCUGAAGAGAAGGAAAAAGGCAUUGACCAGCACAAUGAAAAUGUUGUAGUUGAGAAGGCUGAGCCAAAAGGAUUACCUCCAGGAUGGACCAAAGAAAUCAAAGUGACAAAGAAAGCUCAUAAAAUCAGAAGGGAUUCGUAUUACACUGAUCCUGCAAGCGGAUAUGUAUUCCGCUCUAUGAAGGACGUACUUCGCUAUCUUGAAACUGGGGAGGUAGGGAAACAAGCAUUCAAGCCCAAAGACAAAGGCAACAAUGAUGUUGAGUUGGAAGAUGAUAAAGCAUGUUCACCAGCUGCAGCAAAGAAACAAAAGUUGGCAGUCAAUGGAACAAGAAGUCCAACUAUAAGUGAGAAGAGCUCAAAGCCAUUUGAAGUUGCAAAGGAUGAACAAGUACUUAGUUCGGCUAAUACAGGAGAAUCCUUGCCUGUCUCUGAGCAUAAUGUAGUAGGUGCUCAGUCUAACAGCUCAGAAGUGCCAGAGGGCAAAGGUUCAAACCAAACAGUAGGGAAGAGUGAUCCUGCUACAAGUGUAAUAGCUACUGCAGUUGAUAUCCUCCCAAAUGAGCCACCAGUGGAAAGUAGGGUGAUGAAGGAUGAAAUUAGAAGUACACCUCAAAAAUGCAAGAAGAAAAAGAAUCUUAACCUGCCUCGCCGGGCUUCAAAGCGACUUGCUGGCCUUCCACUCGAUCCUACACCUGAAUUGAAAACAACAAACCGAGCCCGUCAAGCUCCAGUUAAACAGUCUGAUGAUAUAGUUGUAAGUACAGGUGGAGGUUCUUCCCACACUGAGCUCCCCAAAAGCACAAAAUGUUCAUUUGAGUCAAAUAAGAGCAAGCAUCCAAUUGUACAUACAGCUGCUCCAAGCGAACAUGUAGAAAAGGUAGAAAGUGUAAAAAGGGGUGAUGAGAAGCCUGAACAUGCUGUUGUUUCAUCUAUAGGAAAUCUAGUAGAAACAGAAAAUGAGGAUAGUAAGAAGUGUGAACAUGCUGUUCUUUCAGGUGGUAGGAAUCUGGCUAUUGGAGAGGAACAUCCUGGAAUGAUCAUAACUGACAAUAAUGCUGAUGAGAAGCCAGGACUGCCUAUUGACCUCCCACUUGGGGAGUUAUGGCAAGAUCCAUGCAUUGCAUUUGCAAUAAAAAUCCUCACUGGAAUAUCAUUUGACAAUUCUGGAAGUGUACAAGUCUCAUCAGGGUCAAACAAUAGUGAAUUUGGGAGCUCAACUGCUUUGGAAGACCAUGCCAGGAAAGAGGAGGAUCAUAGGAAGCAAGGAUGCACUGUUCAUCAGCCUCUGGUUAACAUAGUUACUUCAGAAGAACGUCCUAGAGGAAUUGACAUUGGUGAUAAAAGUGAUGAGAAGCCAGGAUCCCCUCUUUCUUUUGCAGAUGCAUGGGCAGACCCCUGCAUUGAAUUUGCUAUAAAAACUCUCACAGAUGCAAUUCCAUUAGACUAUGAUAUGGUCAUUCAGGAUUGUCUUCCACAGAAAGCGAGCUCAUCACAGUCACAAGAAAGUAGUGGCUUGACCUUGCAGAAUGUAGGUGAGCCUGGUCAAACCGAAUUUUUUUAUCGGCAAUUUGGCAUUUCAGAGAAGCCUUCAUACAAUCAAGGGGCUUUGAUGGAGCCUGCAUUACCACACGCUAAAAAUGUGAACUUAGGAUACUCGGGUGGAGCCAUUCACCAUCAACUCAGUGAAGACAGAAGCAAAGAAUAUAAAAGGUAGCAAUCCAGUUGUAGUAAUCAAUUCAUUGUACAGUCUAGGGAACUUCGAUCUGGACGUGAUUAUUUUUGGGACGAGAUCAUCUGUAAUUCUCUAGUUAGCAUGAAUGUUCACCCCCUAAUCUAUCUGUACUCAGAUAUAAACUUUGUUGUCAUUCAUUUGAGAUAAAAAUUAGUUGGAACAAAGUUUAUAUCUGAGUACAGAUAGA